CCUACGGGAGGCAGCAGUAGGGAAUAUUGCUCAAUGGGGGAAACCCUGAAGCAGCAACGCCGCGUGGAGGAUGAAGGUUUUCGGAUUGUAAACUCCUUUUGUUAGAGAAGAUAAUGACGGUAUCUAACGAAUAAGCACCGGCUAACUCCGUGCCAGCAGCCGCGGUAAUACGGAGGGUGCAAGCGUUACUCGGAAUCACUGGGCGUAAAGAGCGCGUAGGCGGGAUAGCAAGUCAGAUGUGAAAUCCUAUGGCUUAACCAUAGAACUGCAUUUGAAACUGUUAUUCUAGAGUAUGGGAGAGGUAGGUGGAAUUCUUGGUGUAGGGGUAAAAUCCGUAGAGAUCAAGAGGAAGACUCAUUGCGAAGGCGACCUGCUGGAACAUUACUGACGCUGAUGCACGAAAGCGUGGGGAGCAAACAGGAUUAGAUACCCCAGUAGUC
rnacentral:rRNA from 1 species